CCUACGGGUGGCAGCAGUGGGGAAUAUUGCACAAUGGGGGAAACCCUGAUGCAGCGACGCCGCGUGAGUGAAGAAGUAAUUCGUUAUGUAAAGCUCUAUCAGCAGGGAAGAAAAUGCCGGUACCUGAGUAAGAAGCCCCGGCUAACUACGUGCCAGCAGCCGCGGUAAUAAGGAGGGAGCAAGCGUUAUCCGGAUUUACUGGGGGUAAAGGGAGCGUAGACGGCAGUGCAAGUCUGGAGUGAAAGGCGGGGGCUCAACCCCCGGACUGCUCUGGAAACUGUACGGCUGGAGUGCAGGAGAGGUAAGUGGAAUUCCUAGUGUAGCGGUGAAAGGCGUAGAUAUUAGGAGGAACACCAGUGGCGAAGGCGGCUUACUGGACUGUAACUGACAUUGAUGCACGAAAGUGUGGGUAUCAAACAGGAUUAGAUACCCGGGUAGUC
rnacentral:rRNA from 1 species